UUUUGGUGUCUGUAAACAUCAUCUUCCGAUGUCUGUAAACGUCGAGUUUUCUCCCAUUCAUCCGUUGAUGUCUGGUCGAGUCUCCCCAGUCAUUCAUUAAUGUUUGGUUACCUCUCCGUUGGUCUUGGUAAACGUUGAGUUUUUCCCAUUUCGUCCGUUGACGUAUGGUUGUAUCCCUUCCGGUCAUUCAUUAAUGUCUGCUUACCUCUCCGUUGGUCUUGGUAAACGUCGAGUUUUUCCUAGUUGUCCGUUGGCAUCUAGUUGUGAUUUCUUUCCCCCAUUCAUCGUCGUUGCGAUGUCUGGAUGUGGCUGUACCCUUUAAAAAC
rnacentral:lncRNA from 1 species